CGUGUAGGCGGUCGGUCAAGUCCGAUGUGAAAGCCCGGGGCUCAGCCCCGGAAGGGCAUCGGAAACUAGCCGGCUGGAGCGCGAUAGAGGAGGGUGGAAUUCCUGGUGUAGCGGUGAAAUGCGUAGAUAUCAGGAGGAACACCGGCGGCGAAGGCGGCCCUCUGGAUCGUUGCUGACGCUGAGACGCGAAAGCGUGGGGAGCAAACAGGAUUAGAUACCCUGGUAGUCCACGCUGUAAACUAUGGGUACUAGGUGUUCGGGGUAUUGACCCCCUGAGUGCCGCAGCUAACGCAUUAAGUACCCCGCCUGGGGACUACGGCCGCAAGGUUAAA
rnacentral:rRNA from 1 species